CCGAGGGGCUGCUCUCAUGGACACCAUCAGGUGCUGGGAAGCAGGAACCACCAGGACCUGGACAGAGUCCCCAGUGACCGGCCUGGCAGACAGAGGAGCCCUCAGCUACAGCAUCACAAACAACGGGUGGGGAUCGACAUUUGUUCAAGAAGCCUGGUUCCUUUUACUGGAGAAUGGUGUUUAUUGGAGAACAGAGACCUGGGCACCAGAGGAGGAUCAGAGGACUUCUGUCCUGAGAUUGCCAGAAAAAUGAUGAACAGAAAAUUAUACACAACCGAACAGGCCCAACUUUCAAAUGGACUGAGAAUGACCCACACAAGUUCCACCGAGGCCAAGGGUGACCUGCAGCCAGCGACAGGGAAAGACUGCCACUUACUGGCGGCCUCCGGAACUGGAAGGAGUGUACUGACAAUUGUAUCUUUCGCAAGCUCUUAACCUUUAUACCGUCAAUAAAAACCCCAUUAACAUUUAAAAGGGAUGUUUCUGGGUGUCCACUUGGAAUAAGAGUUGGAAAACACUCCAAGAAAUGGAUUCUGUAUUAAUAUCACAUCUGUCCCAGAUCUCCAACACUGUUCACUUUCCUUCCACGGUGCCAACACCAAGCUAGCUGAUAGGUGGGAACAGGGCAGCUCUGCGGUUGGCCCCCAAGAGCCAGGGAGUCCCCCAAGCUGACCCCCUGGGGUGGCAGUGGCACCUAACAAGAACUUCCACCUUGUUUUCCCUCUCUCCGUUUUGUCCUUUUGGACUCUGCUCACGCAUCACAUCCAGAAAGUUCCCUAAGCUCUCCAGUGGGAUGAGAACUCUGCUCUGUGCUCCUG
rnacentral:lncRNA from 1 species